rnacentral:rRNA from 1 species
UGGUAACACCCGAAGUCAGUUAGUCUAACCGCAAGGAGGACGCUGCCGAAGGUGGGAUUAGCGACUGGGGUGAAGUCGUAACAAGGUACC